UUACGGCCAUAUCACGUUGAAACAUCGGUUCUCGUAUGAUCACCUAAGUUAAGCAACGUCGAGCCUGGUUAGUACCUAGAUGGGGGACUGCUUAGGAAUAACGGAUGUUGUUA